CCUACGGGAGGCAGCAGUGAGGAAUAUUGGUCAAUGGCCGAAAGUCUGAACCAGCCAAGUAGCGUGAGGGAUGACUGCCCUAUGGGUUGUAAACUUCUUUUAUAUGGGAAUAAAGUGUUCCACGUGUGGAGCUUUGUAGGUACCGUAUGAAUAAGGAACGGCUAAUUCCGUGCCAGCAGCCGCGGUAAUACGGAAGGUCCGGGCUUUAUCCGGAUUUAUUGGGUUUAAAGGGAGCGUAGGGGGGUCGUUAAGUCAGUUGUGAAAUUUUGUGGCUCAACCGUGAAAGUGCAGUGGAAACUGGCAGCCUGGAGUGCGCGAGAGGCAGGCGGAAUUCGUGGUGUAGCGGUGAAAUGCGUAGAUAUCACGAAGAACCCCGAUUGCGAAGGCAGCUUGCUGGAGCGCAACUGACGCUGAGGCUCGAAAGCGUGGGUAUCGAACAGGAUUAGAUACCCGGGUAGUC
rnacentral:rRNA from 1 species